UUGCAAUGAUGACCAUCUUAGGACACCUUUGGAGUAUAUAAUGAAAACAAACACUAUAAAUAUCUGAGCAGC